AGAGUUUGAUCAUGGCUCAGAACGUACGCUGGCGGCACGCCUAACACAUGCAAGUCGAACGAAGUAGCAAUACUUAGUGGCAGACGGGUGAGUAACAUGUAGGUAUCUGCCCUUUGGCCUGGAAUAACACGAGGAAACUUGUGCUAAUACCGGAUAAGUCUUUACGGAGAAAGCUUUAUGCACCAUUGGAUGAGCCUGCACUUGAUUAGUUUGUUGGUGGGGUAAUGGCCUACCAAGACUUUGAUCAAUAGCUGAUUUGAGAGGAUGAUCAGCCACAUUGGGACUGAGACACGGCCCAAACUCCUACGGGAGGCAGCAGUGGGGAAUCUUGCACAAUGGAGGAAACUCUGAUGCAGCGAUGCCGCGUGAGUGAAGAAGGCCUUUGGGUUGUAAAGCUCUUUCGUCGGGGAAGAAAAUGACUGUACCCGAAUAAGAAGGUCCGGCUAACUUCGUGCCAGCAGCCGCGGUAAUACGAAGGGACCUAGCGUAGUUCGGAAUUACUGGGCUUAAAGAGUUCGUAGGUGGUUGAAAAAGUUGGUGGUGAAAUCCCAGAGCUUAACUCUGGAACUGCCAUCAAAACUUUUCAGCUAGAGUAUGAUAGAGGAAAGCAGAAUUUCUAGUGUAGAGGUGAAAUUCGUAGAUAUUAGAAAGAAUACCAAUUGCGAAGGCAGCUUUCUGGAUCAUUACUGACACUGAGGAACGAAAGCAUGGGUAGCGAAGAGGAUUAGAUACCCUCGUAGUCCAUGCCGUAAACGAUGUGUGUUAGACGUUGGAAAUUUAUUUUCAGUGUCGCAGCGAAAGCGAUAAACACACCGCCUGGGGAGUACGACCGCAAGGUUAAAACUCAAAUGAAUUGACGGGGACCCGCACAAGUAGUGGAGCAUGUGGUUUAAUUCGAAGAUACGCGCAGAACCUUACCAACACUUGACAUGUUCGUCGCGACUUUAAGAGAUUAAAGUUUUCGGUUCGGCCGGACGAAACACAGGUGCUGCAUGGCUGUCGUCAGCUCGUGUCGUGAGAUGUUGGGUUAAGUCCCGCAACGAGCGCAACCCUCACUUUUAGUUGCCAUCAUUAAGUUGGGCACUCUGAAAGAACUGCCAGUGAUAAGCUGGAGGAAGGUGGGGAUGACGUCAAGUCCUCAUGGCCCUUACGUGUUGGGCUACACACGUGCUACAAUGGUAUCUACAACAGGAAGCAAAACGGCGACGUUUAGCAAAUCCCUAAAAGAUACCUCAGUUCGGAUUGCACUCUGCAACUCGAGUGCAUGAAGCUGGAAUUACUAGUAAUCGUGGAUCAGCGUGCCACGGUGAAUGCGUUCCCGGGUCUUGUACACACCGCCCGUCACACCAUGGGAGUUGGUUCUACCUUAAGGCAAGGUUUUAAACCCUUGACCACGGUAUAGUCAGCGACUGGGGUGAAGUCGUAACAAGGUA
rnacentral:rRNA from 1 species